CUGCAAACACAAGGGACCUGUGUGCUCAAAACCAAGGUUCAGAGCUGCACAGAAAGCUUGAGAAAGUUCGUUUUUUUGCCCCAGGAGCCCCCCCAGCUUGACCAUAAAAGUUUUAAAAAAAGAAAAAGAAAAUAGGAAAUACCAAAAGAAAAGGAAAGAAAAUGAGCAAGAAACAGAAAAGAACCUUGGCUAUAGAAAGCUACUGUGGUGACAAGGAAGACCAAAAUGCCAACUCAUAUGAGGACAAAAUGUCCACAAAGGAAAUCUCAAAAAAUGAUAUGAAUUGCUCUCAAGCCCAAAGAGGCUUUUUGGAAGUGGAAAUAAAAGAAGAAAAAAUGAGAAAAGAAAUGAGAGGGAUGCAAGAGAGAGUCAGCAGCUUGGAAAAGGAAGGCAAUUUCUUUUUGUUGUUGUUGUUGUUGUUGCAAUUUCUUAAAAUGUAUAAUUGACCAAAUGCAAAAAAUAUCCACUGAAGAAAAUACCACCUUCAAAAGUAGAAUUAACCAAAUGGAAAAAGAGAUACAAAAACUAACUGAAGAAAAUCAUGUUAAAAACUAGAACGGGACAAAUGGAAGUUAUUGACUCUGUGAGACAUCAAGAAUCAGUCAAAGCAACUAAAAAGAAUGAAAAAUGGAAGAAAAUGUAAAAUACCUCACAGGAAAAACAACUGGCCUGGAAAAUAGGUCUAGAAGAGACAGUUUAAAAGUUAUUGGUCUACCUGACAGACAUGACCAAAAAAAGAGCCUGGCUAGCAUUCUUCAAGAGAUCAUCAAGGAAAACUGCUCUGAUAUUCUAAAAAGAGGGGAAAUAGUCAUUGAAAGAAUCCAUCAGUAAUCUUUGGAAAGAGAUUCCACAAGCAAAACCCCAAGGAACAUUGUUGCAAAAUUCCAGAACUAUAAUCUUGAGGAAAAAAUACUGUAAGCUGCCAGGCAAAAACAAUUCAUAUAUCAAGGAGCAACAAUUAAUAUUACCCGAGAUCUGGCAGCUUCUAUAAUAAAGGAUCAGAGGACCUAGAAUACAAUAUUCCAGAAGGCAAAGGACCUGGAAUUACAACCAAGAAUUAAUUACCCAUCGAGACUGAGCAAGAGCUUUCA
rnacentral:lncRNA from 1 species